AAUCCAAAACUCAGUCUAAUUAGUGUCGUGAUGGUUUGCGGUUGCAUAAACAGAUUGUGCAUCUGAUCAUUUUGAAAUUUUUUAUGUAGGUUUAUGCUCUAUGGUUAUAAAGGUUCAGGAGAAGGGUGCGGGUGACAAUGGAAGGUCGGUAUCUAGAAGGCAAUCUGCUCGGUUUGAACAUGAUGAACCGAAACUCGCAGAGGACAUGUUCCAUACAAUCGAGAUUGAUGAUAAAAUGCAAGGCUGUCUCGUGAAGUAACUAAGAAGGUUCAGUCUUAUAAGGAAAUUGGUGUCAACGUAAAAAUGCGCAGACCUGAGUGAGCGUUUUUUGAACUACUUGGUUUGAAAAUCAUACCCCUACUGAUACAGAAACAGAACUAACAUUAAAAGAUGGUAGCCAGGAGUUACCAGAUCGGGCAAUCAGUAUAACGAGCAUUUUAUGGGUUCCAGUUCGUGCUACUAAUGAUGUAUUAGAAAGAGGAACAUCUGUAGGUUCCAGUUCAUGCUACUAUGAUUACUGAAGAGGAAGCUAAAGCUAUGAAUCCCAAUUCUAUAUUAAACAUUAGAUACACAAGGUUUCCACGUGUUCAAGGCA